GAUGAACGCUAGCUACAGGCUUAACACAUGCAAGUCGAGGGGUAACGAGAGGAAAGCUUGCUUUCCUUGUCGACGACCGGCGCACGGGUGAGUAACGCGUAUCCAACCUGCCCCCAACUAGGGAAUAACCUUGCGAAAGUAAGACUAAUACCCUAUAAUUUCCUCAGAUGUCAUCUGACGAGGAAUAAAGAUUUAUCGGUUGUGGAUGGGGAUGCGUCUGAUUAGCUUGUUGGCGGGGUAACGGCCCACCAAGGCAACGAUCAGUAGGGGUUCUGAGAGGAAGGUCCCCCACAUUGGAACUGAGACACGGUCCAAACUCCUACGGGAGGCAGCAGCGAGGAAUAUUGGUCAAUGGGCGGAAGCCUGAACCAGCCAAGUAGCGUGCAGGAUGACGGCCCUAUGGGUUGUAAACUGCUUUCAUACAGGAAUAAAGUUAGCCACGUGUGGUUAUUUGUAGGUACUGUAUGAAUAAGGACCGGCUAAUUCCGUGCCAGCAGCCGCAGUAA
rnacentral:rRNA from 1 species